CCUACGGGAGGCAGCAGUGGGGAAUAUUGGACAAUGGGCGAAAGCCUGAUCCAGCCAUGCCGCGUGUGUGAAGAAGGCCUUUUGGUUGUAAAGCACUUUAAGCGAGGAGGAGGCUACUUAGAUUAAUACUCUAGGAUAGUGGACGUUACUCGCAGAAUAAGCACCGGCUAACUCUGUGCCAGCAGCCGCGGU
rnacentral:rRNA from 1 species